ACAAGAGGUGGGAGAGGAAACUUUCAAAGACCAGGAUGGGCAUUGGAGUCCGGCUUCAACCAGGGAUUUAGCUACUACUCGAGUCUUGUCAGCGGAAAAAAUGAAAGAAAAAUAGAAGAAAAGUGAGGGAGAAGAUAGAAAAUUCCAGGAAAAGCCUUCACAUCAGUGCUCUUACUGCCUCAAUGGAGAAAGAUUAAAAUGUUCAUACGAAUACUUUUGAAAUCCAUUUAAUCAACAGACACAGCUUGCACCAAAUCCAGCCUAUGCUGUUUGAAAGUCUCCAUCAGCUGCUCAGAAGUUGUGCUUUAUUUUUCUGAGAAUACUGGACUGAAUAUCUUCUAGUCUUGUUUUGGGACUGCUGGACUGGUGACUGGUGCAUUUGUCUUCAAGAGAGAAGGGCCAAAAUUCUGCUCGCUGCUGUGUAAAUGCAGAAUUAACAGAAGAUUCCUGUCCCCAAAAUCUUAUAAUUUAGGAGAAGUGUUAUGAACAGUGGAUGUUCAAAAGAUGCCUACAUGCAGAGAAAGGGAGGAUCC